AACGAACGCUGGCGGCAUGCCUAACACAUGCAAGUCGAACGAGACCUUCGGGUCUAGUGGCGCACGGGUGCGUAACGCGUGGGAACCUGCCCUUAGGUUCGGAAUAACUCCCCGACAGGGGUGCUAAUACCGGAUAAUUUCUUCGGACCAAAGAUUUAUCGCCUUUGGAUGGGCCCGCGUUGUAUUAGCCUUUUGGUAGGGUAAAAGCCUACCAAGGCUUCGAUCGAUAGCUGGGCAGAGAGGAAGAUCAGCCACACUUGGACUAGGCAACGGCCCAGAAUCUUGCGGGAGGCAGGAAUGGGGGAUAUUGGAAAAUGGGGUAAAGCAUGAUCCAGCUAGGGCGGGUGAGUGAUGAAGGCGUGAGGGUUGUAAAGCUCUUUUACCCGGGAUGAUAAUGACAGUACCGGGAGAAUAAGCACCGGCUAACUCCGUG
rnacentral:rRNA from 1 species